rnacentral:lncRNA from 1 species
GUCCCUACCGCCGCUGCUUCCCGGGAACCUGGCGCCGCCGGAACUGAUCGCGGCCUAGUCCCGACGCGUGUGUGCUAGUGAGCCGGAGCCGGCGACGGCGGCAGUGGCGGCCCGGCCUGCAGGAGCCCGACGGGGUCUCUGCCAUGGGGGAGUGACGCGCCUGCACCCGCUGUUCCGCGGCAGCGGCGAGACAUGAGGAGACCCCGCGACAGGGGCAGCGGCGGCGGCUCGUGAGCCCCGGGAUGGAGGAGAAAUACGGCGGGGACGUGCUGGCCGGCCCCGGCGGCGGCGGCGGCCUUGGGCCGGUGGACGUACCCAGCGCUCGAUUAACAAAAUAUAUUGUGUUACUAUGUUUCACUAAAUUUUUGAAGGCUGUGGGACUUUUCGAAUCAUAUGAUCUCCUAAAAGCUGUUCACAUUGUUCAGUUCAUUUUUAUAUUAAAACUUGGGACUGCAUUUUUUAUGGUUUUGUUUCAAAAGCCAUUUUCUUCUGGGAAAACUAUUACCAAACACCAGGUAAGAUUUUUGCAGAAUCUUUUAUUCCUAGCAGCUUCUCGUUUAGUGGGCCAGGAGGCAAUGCUUAUUUUUUAUAAUGGGUACUUAAUGAAUGAUUUAAGUAUGCCACAGAACAAUUUUAGAGUUAACUUGCUCUUGUCUUUUCAGAAUGGAGACUUUAAAUCAUAAAGUACUAAGAUCAUGGAAUGUUUUUAAAAAAAACAAGAGGGUAAAAAAAAUUAUAAAGCAUUCAUGUAAUUGUUUUCUUCAGUACACACUUCUUAUUCUGAAAGAUUUACAAAUUGGACAUGAAAGCAUGCCCAAGAGCCUAGUACAAAUGUCACUGGAAAGCUGACAAAGCAUAGGGGUUAAGAGUGUGAUUUCUGGAGUCAGACAAAGUCAUGUUCUGUCUGUCCUCCUUACUGACCCUUACUUUGGGCAAGUUACUUGAUUUCUCUCUACCUUAAUUUGCUCACUGUAAAAUGGAGAUAACAGUAACUUCCUAACAGAACUGUGAGGAAAAAUGAAUUAAUACUUAUGAAGUUCUUAGAAUGAUGCCUCAUCAUCAUUGUGACAAUGUGACACCCUCAUGAUCAUUGUCACUGUUCUCUUUAGGCAGCUGUGAUUCAAACUAGAAAUGUCCUACAUUUUGCAUAAUCAUCUCACAUCGUCACUUCUUUGGGCAGCAGUUAUACCAUAGUACAUGUUUGCUUUAUGCCAUGACUUACAAACCUGCGUCAUAAUUUUUUUAUUAGAAAGACGAAUUUAAGUACUUCUGUUUCAGAGACCAAGAACAUUUUUUAAAAUAUGAUUAAUAGUCUAAACCCCAUUUUAACUUUUUUCUCUCCUUUCAGAUAAUUGGAUCACUAAAAAUUCCUGGUAGAAAAGAAUUUAAAGACAAAAAGUUAAAUGAUCCUAGGAAACUAGUGGGAAACUGAGAAAUCAUAAAAUUGUACUCUGAAGAAAAAGAUUUCAAAAUCUACCAGCAGACAAGAAUAUAGAUAAUGGAAAACAGAAUACUGUCCUUUUUUUUUUUCUUUCUUUUUUUGAGAAAGAGUCUUGCUCCAUCGCCCAGGCUGCAGUGCAGUGACACGAUCUUGUCUCACUGCAACCUCUGCCUCCCGGGUUCAAGCGAUUCUCCUGCCUCAGCCUCCUGAGUAGCUGGAAUUACAGGCACCCACCACCACACCCAGCUCAUUUUUGUAUUUUUAGUAGAGACGGGGCUUCAUUCACCACAUUGGCCAGCCUGGUCUUGAACUCCUGACCUCAGGUGAUCUGCCUGCCUCGGCCUCACAAAGUGCUAGGAUUACAGGCAUGAGCCACAGCACCCGGCCCAGAAUAAGAAUACUGUCUUGGAAAUCUAGACUUAGUCAAGGGAUCUUAUGUUUUCUAUUUACAAAAUAUGUAAUGAUUUCACCUUUAAAAUAUUUGUUAUUAUUAUCUUUCUGUAUUUUAUUUAAAAUUUGGAUAUAUAGCAAAAUAUAUGUGACUGAAAUUUUUAAUUUUUUUGUUUCCAUUUAUAGUGGAUCAAAAUAUUUAAACAUGCAGUUGCUGGGUGUAUUAUUUCACUCUUGUGGUUUUUUGGCCUCACUCUUUGUGGACCACUAAGGUAAAUAAAAAUGCAUAUUUUGAAUGUG